AGGUUUCCGUAGGUGAACCUGCGGAAGGAUCAUUGUCGAUGCUAGAAAGGAAGAAUGUGAACUUGUCAAGGUGCCUUUUGGGAACAAAGCAGCAACAAUCGUUUAAUGCACUCUUGCUCUUUAAGGCAUCCCUUGCCGCCCCCGACCAGUGUCAAGCAUGGAUUGGUGGUGGGAACAUGAACCCGGCGUGGUUUGCGCCAAGGAAUAGUUUUGUUGGAGAGCAUCGCAUGCCACGAUGCCCUAUCUUUGUGGCGCGUGAUGUGAUCCUUGCUAGAGCGAGAAUUCGCAUGACUCUCGGCAACGGAUAUCUUGGCUCUCGCAUCGAUGAAGAACGUAGCAAAAUGCGAUACUUGGUGUGAAUUGCAGAAUCCCGUGAAUCAUCGAGUUUUUGAACGCAAGUUGCGCCUGAGGCCGUCUGGUCAAGGGCACGCCUGCCUGGGCGUCACGCCUAGCGUCACUUCAUGCACCUUGUCUACCCGCUCGAGGUAGAUGGCCUGGAUGGAUGUGGAGAUUGACCUUUUGUGCUUUGCGGCAUGAUGGGUUGAAGUACGAGCUUUGCUGCAGGUUUUGUACGCGGCGAGUGGUGGACGCAGUUCACGCACGACGCCUUUUGCUGCGGACAAUAGCAACCGGCCUAUGUGGAGCACGAAAGGAACCUAAGCAGAUGGCGCGUUGUUGCGUCCUCGGACCAUGACCCCAGGUCAGGUGGGAACACCCGCUGAGC
rnacentral:sRNA from 2 species